rnacentral:rRNA from 1 species
UAGAGUUUGAUCAUGGCUCAGAACGAACGCUGGCGGCAUGCCUAAUACAUGCAAGUCGAACGAUCACUUCGGUGAUAGUGGCGCACGGGUGCGUAACGCGUGGGAAUCUGCCCUUGGGUUCGGAAUAACAUCUGGAAACGGAUGCUAAUACCGGAUGAUGACGUAAGUCCAAAGAUUUAUCGCCCAGGGAUGAGCCCGCGUAGGAUUAGCUAGUUGGUGGGGUAAAGGCCUACCAAGGCGACGAUCCUUAGCUGGUCUGAGAGGAUGAUCAGCCACACUGGGACUGAGACACGGCCCAGACUCCUACGGGGGGCAGCA